AACGACUCUCGACAACGGAUAUCUCGGCUCUCGCAUCGAUGAAGAACGUAGCUAAAUGCGAUACUUGGUGUGAAUUGCAGAAUCCCGUGAACCAUCGAGUCUUUGAACGCAAGUUGCGCCCGAAGCCGUCAGGCCGAGGGCACGUC
rnacentral:rRNA from 23 species